UCCAGACUCCUACGGGAGGCAGCAGUGGGGGAUAUUGCACAAUGGGGGAAACCCUGAUGCAGCGACGCCGCGUGGGUGAAGAAGUAUUUCGGUAUGUAAAGCCCUAUCAGCAGGGAAGAAAGAAGACGGUACCUGACUAAGAAGCCCCGGCUAACUACGUGCCAGCAGCCGCGGUAAUACGUAGGGGGCGAGCGUUAUCCGGAUUCACUGGGUGUAAAGGGAGCGUAGACGGCCGUGCAAGCCAGGAGUGAAAGCCCGGGGCCCAACCCCGGGACUGCUCUUGGAACUGUGCGGCUGGAGUGCGGGAGGGGCAGGCGGAAUUCCUGGUGUAGCGGUGAAAUGCGUAGAUAUCAGGAGGAACACCGGCGGCGAAGGCGGCCUGCUGGACCGCGACUGACGUUGAGGCUCGAAAGCGUGGGGAGCGAACAGGAUUAGAUACCCCGGUAAA
rnacentral:rRNA from 1 species